CGUGAGAUGUUGGGUUAAGUCCCGCAACGAGCGCAACCCCUAUUGUUAGUUGCUACGCAAGAGCACUCUAGCGAGACUGCCGUUGACAAAACGGAGGAAGGUGGGGACGACGUCAAAUCAUCAUGCCCCUUAUGUCCUGGGCUACACACGUAAUACAAUGGCGGUCAACAGAGGGAUGCAAAACCGUAAGGCGGAGCGAACCCCUAAAAGCCGUCCCAGUUCAGAUCGUGGGCUGCAACCCGCCCACGU
rnacentral:rRNA from 1 species